rnacentral:rRNA from 1 species
AUGAAGGCCUUAGGGUUGUGAAGCUCUUUCAGCAGGGACGAUAAUGACGGUACCUGCAGAAGAAGCCCCGGCUAACUCCGUGCCAGCAGCCGCGGUAAGACGGAGGGGGCUAGCGUUGUUCGGAAUUACUGGGCGUAAAGCGCGCGUAGGCGGGUGUGCAAGUUGGGGGUGAAAGCCCGGGGCUCAACCUCGGAACUGCCUUCAAAACUGCACAUCUAGAGGACGGGAGAGGCAAGUGGAAUUCCCAGUGUAGAGGUGAAAUUCGUAGAUAUUGGGAAGAACACCGGUGGCGAAGGCGACUUGCUGGACCGGAUCUGACGCUGAGGUGCGAAAGCGUGGGGAGCGAACAGGAUUAGAUACCCUGGUAGUCCACGCCGUAAACGAUGGGUGCUAGGUGUCGGGCGGCUUGCCGUUCGGUGCCGCAGCUAACGCGUUAAGCACCCCGCCUGG